rnacentral:lncRNA from 1 species
UUGUUAGUCGUCAGUCAAAAACUCGGCAAGACAUCGCAUCUCGUGCCUACGUAUCUCAUCUGAACAUGAGAAUCAAAGUUGUCGUAGUUCGGCUAACUAGGGGUUAAGGAUUGCCAUCUGAACAUGGACUUACAAAAGAGGACACCAUCUGUGUCAAAGGAGGGUGGGCAGUGUGUUCAACGUCCUAGCAGUAGGUGUCACAGCUCGCUGAAUCGAG